AUGGCGCAAUCUGACGUAAAAAUCAUCUGCUGGAACGUCCGCGGUCUCAACUCCCCCGCUCGCUGCGAUACCGUCCAUGACAUGGUGCGUGACGCGCAUGCUACCAUCGUCUGUCUCCAAGAGACAAAGCUGCAGUUAGUGGACGACUUCAUAAUCCGGGAAAUGCUUGGCCCUUGCUUCGUUGCAAACUACUUCGCCCUGCCGGUGGCCCGCACUCGCGGCGGCAUGAUUCUUGCCAUCUCCGACCGGUUCUUCUCCAUGUCGGACCACCACGCAUCAGCGGCCACAAUUUCUACCACAAUCACCAUGCUCAACGACCGCGUCUCCUGGACCAUCUCCUGCGUCUACGGCCCUCAAGGAGAGCAGGAGAAGCUGGCUUUCAUUGAGGAGCUGACGGCUCUUGCUGUUGUGUCCCGGAGUGAGUGGCUUUUACUGGGUGAUUUCAAACUCAUCAUAAAAGCGGCAGACAAGAACAACAACAACAUAAACCGCAGACUCAUUGGGAAGUUCAGGAGGGCACUGAACUUCUUGAAUCUCAAGGAGCACCAUUUAUGCGGGCAGCGGUUCACCUGGUCUAAUGAACAGGCUAGUCCGGUGCUGAGUAAAUCGACCACGUUUUCCACUCCGAUGACUAGGACACGCUCUUCCCAAAUGCCCACCUACAGGCCAUCUCCACGGCUUGCUCAGACCACAGACCACUAUACCUUCAGGGAUGUAUUGACAAUCCAAGGAAGCCGUCCUUCAAAUUCGAGGAGUUUUGGUUGCGCCUUCCUGGCUUCCACGAGGCCGUCUCCGCGGCUUGGAACAAGCCCGUCCAGGCUCAUGACGCGAUCCAUAGGAUACACAUCAAGCUUUGUAGGACUGCGAAGGCCUUGCGCAUGUGGUAGAAGGAGAAGGUCGGUGUUCUAA
rnacentral:rRNA from 1 species